rnacentral:rRNA from 1 species
GGUGAACGCUGGCGGCGUGCUUAACACAUGCAAGUCGAACGAAGCAUUUGCGACAGAUUUUUUCGGAAUGAAGUUGCUUAUGACUGAGUGGCGGACGGGUGAGUAACGCGUGGGUAACCUGCCUUGUACUGGGGGAUAGCAGCUGGAAACGGCUGGUAAUACCGCAUAAGCGCACAAUGUUGCAUGACAUGGUGUGAAAAACUCCGGUGGUAUAAGAUGGACCCGCGUCUGAUUAGCUAGUUGGUGAGAUAACAGCCCACCAAGGCGACGAUCAGUAGCCGACCUGAGAGGGUGACCGGCCACAUUGGGACUGAGACACGGCCCAGACUCCUACGGGAGGCAGCAGUGGGGAAUAUUGCACAAUGGAGGAAACUCUGAUGCAGCGACGCCGCGUGAGUGAAGAAGUAAUUCGUUAUGUAAAGCUCUAUCAGCAGGGAAGAUAGUGACGGUACCUGACUAAGAAGCUCCGGCUAAAUACGUG